GCCGGCGUAGUACAAUGGUAGUACAUUGCUUUCCUAAUCUUUAGAUAAGAGCUUGAAAGGCAAAGGUUGUGGGUUCGAGCCCCAUCGUCGGUU